rnacentral:rRNA from 1 species
AUGUUAAGCAAAGCUGCUGAUCAUAGCUUGAUAGCAGGGCUCUGCCCUGAGGUUUGUCCUGGUGACAUCAUCUGCCUGCAAUACGCAGAUGAUACCAUCCUUUUCCUAGACAAUGACUCCACCCAUGCUAGCAACCUAAAAACCGUUCUAACUUGUUUUGAGCAAGUCUCAGGGAUGAGAAUUAACUACUCCAAGAGUGAGCUCAUCCCUAUCAACAUGGAUGAUCAGGAGCUAGCUGAUUUUCUUUCUAUUCUAGUUUGUAGUAAAGGUAACUUCCCCAUUAAGUACUUAGGCAUUCCUCUUCACUAUGAUAAGCUGAGAAGAGAAGAUAUCCAACCCCUGCUAGAUAAAAUCAUUAAAAGGAUUGCAGGGUGGAGGGGUAAACUCCUUUCUUACAGAGGGAGAUUGAUCCUCAUCCAAGCCUGUUGGGCUAGCAUCCCAGUGUACCUCCUUUCCUUCUUCAAAUUCCCUAAAUGGGCAGUGAACCUCAUCAACUCUCAGAUGUCUCACUGCUUGUGGAAUGAUUUUGAAGGUCAUAGGAAACUCCACCUUGCUAAAUGGGGCCUAGUCUCUAUGAAAAAAGACUUUGGAGGCUUAGGUAUACCUAACCUCCAAGAAAUUAACAUCUGCCUCCUAGGAUCUUGGAAGUUUCUCAUUAAUCAUAAGUACUUGGCGGAUAAAACUAAUAUUUUUGCCCCCUCCUCCAACCUUAAGACUUCUAGAUUAUGGAAAGGUUUAAAAUCUAUUAUUCAUGCUGUGAAAUUUGGCUAUAGAUGGAGCAUAGGGGAUGGGAGCAGAACCAGGUUUUGGGAAGAUACUUGGUUUGGCACAUCCCCCUAG